GUUUGUUUGUUUGUUUUGUUUUGUUUUGAAGAAUCUUUAGGUUGUAAGUGUUAAACACAGCAUUGGUUGCACAAGGCAUGCUGUGUAAGGAAAAACCAGUUAAGCUGCCAGGAAGAUCCUCCCACCCUCCCUCCCUUUACUUUGUGGCUCUUGAUUGGUCUUCAGAUUGUGAACACACCAGGAACUCUGGCCCUGCCAUGGAGUUCUGUGUUCAAAAAGAAAGAGAUGACAGCUGACUCGAUUCUGACUUGAAGUGUUGGUCUUCCUGAUCUAUCACAAUCUGAAGAGCCCCUACCACAUAUACCUGCUGCCAGGAUUGACCUACCUAUUGCCUCUGCUGAGACCUAUGAUGGUUUGUAUG
rnacentral:lncRNA from 1 species